rnacentral:pre_miRNA from 1 species
CAUAAUUUUUGACUCUUCGUCUUAUUCAAAUUUUUUUACGAUUGAUAUUUUUUUAUUAGAUGAUAAAUCAUGAAUAGUACUUUAUGUGUGACUAAUUUUUUCUAAUUUUCUGAAAGUUUUUUAAAUAAGACGAUGGUCAAACGUUGGAUACAGAAACC